rnacentral:rRNA from 1 species
CCUACGGGGAGCAGCAGUGAGGAAUAUUGGUCAAUGGGCGCGAGCCUGAACCAGCCAAGUCGCGUGAGGGAAGACGGUCCUAUGGAUUGUAAACCUCUUUUGUCGGGGAGCAAAAGACGCCACGCGUGGCGUUCCGAGAGUACCCGAAGAAAAAGCAUCGGCUAACUCCGUGCCAGCAGCCGCGGUAAUACGGAGGAUCCGAGCGUUAUCCGGAUUUAUUGGGUUUAAAGGGUGCGUAGGCGGCCUUUUAAGUCAGCGGUGAAAGUCUGUGGCUCAACCAUAGAAUUGCCUCUGAUACUGUUCGGCUAGAGAGUAGUUGCGGUAGGCGGAAUGUAUGGUGUAGCGGUGAAAUGCUUAGAGAUCAUACAGAACACCGAUUGCGAAGGCAGCUUACCAAGCUACUUCUGACGUUGAGGCACGAAAGCGUGGGGAGCAAACAGGAUUAGAUACCCGGGUAGUC